rnacentral:rRNA from 2 species
CUUGCUCCCUGAUGUUAGCGGCGGACGGGUGAGUAACACGUGGGUAACCUGCCUGUAAGACUGGGAUAACUCCGGGAAACCGGGGCUAAUACCGGAUGGUUGUUUGAACCGCAUGGUUCAAACAUAAAAGGUGGCUUCGGCUACCACUUACAGAUGGACCCGCGGCGCAUUAGCUAGUUGGUGAGGUAACGGCUCACCAAGGCAACGAUGCGUAGCCGACCUGAGAGGGUGAUCGGCCACACUGGGACUGAGACACGGCCCAGACUCCUACGGGAGGCAGCAGUAGGGAAUCUUCCGCAAUGGACGAAAGUCUGACGGAGCAACGCCGCGUGAGUGAUGAAGGUUUUCGGAUCGUAAAGCUCUGUUGUUAGGGAAGAACAAGUACCGUUCGAAUAGGGCGGUACCUUGACGGUACCUAACCAGAAAGCCACGGCUAACUACGUGCCAGCAGCCGCGGUAAUACGUAGGUGGCAAGCGUUGUCCGGAAUUAUUGGGCGUAAAGGGCUCGCAGGCGGUUUCUUAAGUCUGAUGUGAAAGCCCCCGGCUCAACCGGGGAGGGUCAUUGGAAACUGGGGAACUUGAGUGCAGAAGAGGAGAGUGGAAUUCCACGUGUAGCGGUGAAAUGCGUAGAGAUGUGGAGGAACACCAGUGGCGAAGGCGACUCUCUGGUCUGUAACUGACGCUGAGGAGCG